ensembl:lncRNA
GAAGUGAAUGUGAUUAAAGGCAGAAAGCAGCGGAUCCGUGUGAGACGCGCUCCGGUUUUAACUUCUGAUUUUUAAACCUGACGUUAACGAGCUUCACGAACGUGGACAGAGCAGCUGGAAGGAUAACAGAAUGAAGAGGUCUUUCCUCAAGUCAGCUUCUGCUGGAGCCAGGGAUGUGAAGAAGUUCUCCAAAUCUGAAGUGCAGACACUGGUCAAGCAGGAGGUUCGUCGAGCUGUGAGACAGAAUGAAGCCAAGCUGAAGGGUUUGAUGGAAAACAUUCAACAGCUGGAUAGUGGAGUCAUCUGUGAAAGGGCCAUCCGGAGGCUGGAGAUGAAGUUACAAAGACUGUUCUGCUUUGUGUCAGCCAUCCUUCAUCUGUCAGUCCUGACCUCUUCAUCGAGCUGGUUUGUUUGUUCUUCUCAUUAGAGUACAUCCAGUUGAAGUGUACAUAUGUCUGUAGA